rnacentral:rRNA from 1 species
CCUACGGGUGGCAGCAGUGGGGAAUAUUGCACAAUGGGGGAAACCCUGAUGCAGCGACGCUGCGUGAGCGAUGAAGUAUUUCGGUAUGUAAAGCUCUAUCAGGAGGGAAGAAGAUGACAGUACCUGACUAAGAAGCCCCGGCUAACUACGUGCCAGCAGCCGCGGUAAUACGUAGGGGGCAAGCGUUAUCCGGAUUUACUGGGUGUAAAGGGAGCGUAGACGGCGAUGCAAGUCAGAUGUGAAAGCCCGGGGCUCAACCCCGGGACUGCUUUUGGAACUGUGUGGCUGGAGUGUCGGAGAGGCAGGCGGAAUUCCUGGUGUAGCGGUGAAAUGCGUAGAUAUCAGGAGGAACACCAGUGGCGAAGGCGGCCUGCUGGACGAUAACUGACGUUGAGGCUCGAAAGCGUGGGGAGCAAACAGGAUUAGAUACCCGAGUAGUC